rnacentral:rRNA from 1 species
UACGGGGGGAGCAAGCGUUGUUCGGAUUUACUGGGCGUAAAGGGCGCGUAGGCGGCCACCGCAAGUCGACUGUGAAAUCUCCGGGCUUAACCCGGAAAGGUCAGCCGAUACUGCGGGGCUAGAGUGCAGAAGGGGCAACUGGAAUUCUCGGUGUAGCGGUGAAAUGCGUAGAUAUCGAGAGGAACACCAGUGGCGAAGGCGGCUAUCUGGGCUGAAACUGACGCUGAGGCGCGAAGGCUAGGGGAGCAAACAGG